UGCGUAGGCGGUCUUUUAAGCCAGAAGUGAAAGGCUACGGCUCAACCGUAGUAAGCUUUUGGAACUGUAAGACUUGAGUGCAGGAGAGGAGAGUGGAAUUCCUAGUGUAGCGGUGAAAUGCGUAGAUAUUAGGAGGAACACCAGUAGCGAAGGCGGCUCUCUGGACUGUAACUGACGCUGAGGCACGAAAGCGUGGGUAGCAAACA
rnacentral:rRNA from 1 species